AAUGAACCAAGUUUUAUGUCACUUGAAUCUUGACUCAUGUUCUCUCAUUGCAGAAGGAUCAGUAGUAACUACUUCACGGGAAGGAUGCUUGAGUUUGGCAAUUUGAAACAACUUCAGAAGUUGAUGAUUCUGAGGUUUGCUAUCAGUUUUCCUCUAGAAUAAAGGUUCAGUCAGCAAUCCGGAGCAAUAGUAGCAGCAAGGCAUCUCUUGCUGAGGGUGUAUUCUUGGUUGGAUGAUGCUAUUGAAUAAGUUUUCAAUUUGAAGUGGAGUAGACUUCUCAAUUUGAGAGAUUUUAUGUGACCAUAUCUAAUAAUUGAAGUUUUGCAGCUUAAGCUAGUGCUGAAGGAAAUUGAAAGUAGAUCAUCAAGAAAAGAGUUUAUUCAGCUACUUGUAGAAUGCCACAAACUUUAUUACGAGCAGAGGCUUU